GACGAACGCUGGCGGCGUGCCUAAUGCAUGCAAGUCGAGCGAGCUACAGUCUUCGGACUGUAGCUUAGCGGCGAACGGGUGAGUAACACGUAGGUGAUCUACCCUUCAGAGGAGGACAACCUCAGGAAACUGAGGCUAAACCUUCAUACGUUCACUGGUAGGGAUACUGGUGAAGAAAGAGUUACCGUCAAGGUAGCUGCUGAAGGAUGAGCCUGCGGCCCAUCAGGUAGUUGGUGAGGUAACGGCUCACCAAGCCGAAGACGGGUAACCGGUCUGAGAGGAUGUCCGGUCACACUGGGGCUGAGACACGGCCCAGACUCCUACGGGAGGCAGCAGCAGGGAAUCUUGGGCAAUGGGCGAAAGCCUGACCCAGCGACGCCGCGUGGAGGAAGAAGUCCUUCGGGGCGUAAACUCCUGGACUGGGGGACGAGGAAGGACGGUACCCCAGUAGAAAGGGACGGCUAACUACGUGCCAGCAGCCGCGGUAAAACGUAGGUCCCGAGCGUUGUUCGGAUUCACUGGGUGUAAAGGGCGCGUAGGUGGUUGUCUGUGUCUCAUGUGAAAACUCAGGGCUCAACUCUGAGAUUGCGUGGGAAACUAGGCAGCUAGAGGACAGUAGAGGGGAGUGGAAUUCCCGGUGUAGCGGUAAAAUGCGUAGAUAUCGGGAGGAACACCGGUGGCGAAGGCGGCUCUCUGGGCCGAUCCUGACGCUGAGGCGCGAAAGCUAGGGGAGCGAACC
rnacentral:rRNA from 1 species